GCCUGGGUGGCUCAGUCGGUUCAGCGUCCGACUGCAGUUCAGGUCAUGAUCUCGCUGUUUGUGGGUUCAAGCCCCACGUCGGGCU
rnacentral:tRNA from 1 species